rnacentral:miRNA from 1 species
GACGUCGAAUAUCCACGUCAUAAACACCAAAGUUGAUCGUGUUUAUGACGUCGAAAAUGGACGUCAUUAAAACCAAAGUUAAUCGUUUUUAUGACGUCGAAUAUCGACGUCAUCAACACCAAAUUUGAACGUGUUUAUGACGUCGAAUAUCGACAUCAUGAACACCAAAGUUGAUCGUGUUUAUGACGUCGAAUAUCGACGUCAUAAACACCAAAGUUGAUCGAGUUUAUGACGUCGAUUAUCGACGUC